UACCUGGUUGAUCUUGCCAGUAGUCAUAUGCUUGCCUCAAAGAUUAAGCCAUGCAUGUGUAAGUAUGAAUAAAUUCAGACUGUGAAACUGCGAAUGGCUCAUUAAAUCAGUUAUAGUUU
rnacentral:ncRNA from 1 species